rnacentral:rRNA from 1 species
UACGUAGGGUGCAAGCGUUGUCCGGAAUUAUUGGGCGUAAAGAGCGUGUAGGCGGCUUGGUAGGUCCGCUGUGAAAACUCGAGGCUCAACCUCGAGAUGUCGGCGGAAACCACUUGGCUAGAGUCCGGAAGAGGCGAGUGGAAUUCCUGGUGUAGCGGUGAAAUGCGCAGAUAUCAGGAGGAACACCAAUGGCGAAGGCAGCUCGCUGGGACGGUACUGACGCUGAGGCGCGAAAGCGUGGGGAGCGAACAGG